ensembl:lncRNA
CCUACAAAGUUGCAGAGGAAGUUUCUCAGGCUGUCAUCCAACUUCCCGCCUUUAAUUUCUGUUGUUUGAUAGAGAAUGACUAAGAAAGCUAGUGACUCAGAAGGCUUGAGCGGCUGUCUGCCGAGCUGGACGGUCAAGGGAGGGAGAUGGGUCGGUGGAAAAAGAAAUCAAGAGAGGAAAGGGAAGAAGCAGAGAGAAGACUCAAAAGCCAGCCCAAAAAUAGACGAUGGGCGAUCCUGGCCUGGUUCCGCAGGCAUCGAGACCCCCGGAGCGCUGCUGCUCCUCCGGCAGGAAGCUCUGGAGGAUUCUCACAGCUGGUCUUGGAGGGCCGCUUCCUGGAAGCCUGUCAGAGCAUCUCAUCCUCAGCAGAGGAAGGGCAGGACCGUGGCUCCCAGUACCAGGUCGUGGCCCAGGGCAUGUGGCAGGUCGUCCAGGAGGCGCUGGAGGGCGGCGGGGGCGGCCGGAAGCUGCAGACGAAGCUCAGGUCGGUGGCAGCCACAGUGGAGUGGGCCCGGGGCGCCUCCCGGGAGCUGGGUGGAGACCUGGCCUCCUGGGACUGCCAGCUGCGGACACGGCUGAGGAAUGACGCUGAGAACUGGGUGCCCCCGAGCCCUGGAGACCGAGUGCCCCUGAGCCCGGGGGACCAGCUGGGCGGGUACCUGGCAGAGCUGGCCAAGGCCGUGGAUCGUGGCCUGGGCCCCCAGAGGGCAGGCCGGCUGGGAGCCCGCCUCUCAGCGACCGACAGAGAGUGCUUCCAGGAGGUGCUCCUGGGCCGCCUCUCCAUGCUCCUGACCCGCAGUGGAGACCGGGACAGCUGCCGGGAGCUCUACACCUGGGCCGGGAAGACCUUGUUUGGGCAGCUGCCGACGACGCCAAGGCCCGCCGCCGCCAGGAAACUCCUGGACCCGCUAAUGUUUGCCACCUGGAUGUCCCAGGUGCAGAGCCGGCUGGUGGAGCUGACCCAGAAAGAGUUGGAAAAGCAACUAGAAAAUGUCCUGACCUGUGAUCAGAAAGAGUGGGCCACCUCUCCCUGCCAGGCGUUCCUCAAAAUCUUCCAGCUGUUGAAAGGAACCAUAGAUUCGGUGCAAGACAUCGGGCCUCCCAUUACCAGCCGGGUUCAAGCCAUGGUUCUGAACACGUUCUCAGAGUUUCUGAAAAGGUACCGGGCUGAGGGUACCGCCCACUUCCUCCAGCAGCAGGCCGGUGCCGGACCCUCCCCCCAGCUGCACGUGCUGCAGAACUGCUGCGUCCUCAGGAAAGUGUGGCAGGAUCUGGGCCAGGCCCAUACUCCCCUGGCGGACUUGGUGCUGAGCACCAUCAGCGCCAUCGAGGACCAGAGCCAGGACGACCUUGUGUCCAGGGUCAGAAGCCUGUGCCAGAGCCUACUGCGGCAUCACUUCGGGAGGGAAGACAAGGAGCUGGCUCACACUCUGCGAUCCCUCCGGCGGGGCCUGGAGCGCUAUGCCGGUCUGCUUCCUCCUCCCACAAACAAGGCCUUGGUCACCCAUCUCAAGAGGCUGAAGCCCCGGAAGUGGGAAGACCACCGGGGUCAGGUGGAAACGGACGUCCGGGAGCUGCGUGAGGCUUUCGGGAGGCAGGAGGGCCUCGGUGAUGGAGCCCCUGGCCUGGAGGCCUUCGUGGAGGUCUUCCAGCUCAGCGGGGAGCAGGGCAGCGCGUGUCUGGAUGAAUGGCUGGCCUCCUUCAGGGACAGGUUCCCAGACUAUGUGAGGAGGGAAUCCAAGGCCAGAGAAGGGCAAGGACUUGCCCAGGGUCCCCCGCAGGCCGGUGCAGGCCCCUCCCUAGUCUCUCCGCCUCCUGACGCUGAGAUCCACCCAGCUGGACCCUCGGAGCGGCCCAGUCCAGAUCCCUUCCUGGUGUCCAGGGCUCCCCGCACACAGGGCCAGCCCGAGGAGCCUGAGCUCAGGAGCUGCUGCCCUUGCUACUGGGGCUUCCUCACGACUUUCACAAGGUGACCAAGGGGGUGAGGGCUCCAGGGCCGUCUCCAGGGACGCUGGUCUGGCUCCUAGACAACCCCCCACCAGUCUGUUUUAUUCAGUUCCUGUCUGGAGAUGGCCGUCACCAUUGUCUUGGCUGAGAUCUGUCCUGUCUGUUGCCUGGCAAAAGUCUUCACGGCGGAGGACCAGCCUCAUGUCUGGGGGACCAGACAGACGUUUGUCUUCAUCUCCUCGGCGCCCACUGGCCGCCCCAAGAGGAAAUGGAAGUGAGCUCUCGUUUCAAGGAGCCUCUCCCCCUGGGGCUCUGGACGUGGUGUGGCUCUGGGACCUGGUUAAGGCGAAGGAUGUGAGUGCCCCUGACCCCUUCACAGGCAGCAGUCUGAAAUCCAGAAGGAAGCCGUCCUUCUCAAGCCCGGACUCCUCCACCAGAGGAUCCUGAGUCAGACACCAGGCUAUGAAAGGCCAGCCUCCUCCACAGUCCACCAGAAGCUGCGGAGGCCAAGGGCGGGGCGGGCAGAGGGCAGGCACGGGAGCGUCCCACCAGCCUGGCCGAGGGCCCUCUCCUGCGCGGACCACAGCUUCACUGACAUGCAAUUCACAUGCCGUGUGGUUCACCCACUGAAGUUGCACGUACCAUUCAGUGGUUUUUAGCAUGUUCACAGUUGUACAGCCAUCACCGCAGGCCAUGUUGGGACAUCUUCAUCCCUAGAAAGGACCUGUAACCUUGUCGGCAUGACCCCAAGCCCCUCUUCCCGCCGUGCCCCCCGCCCUGGGCAGGCUCUGCUCUGCUUUCUGGCCACAUACAUGUGUCUGUUCCGGGCACGUCUCAUGAAGUGAAUUACAUGAGGCGUCACCUUUUGUGACCAGCUUCUUUCGCUUCUUUCGCUCAUCGUUAUGCUUCAGGGUUCAUCGGUGUGACUCGCAUCCAUUUCCGCCCGUUUUUUACGUUUUUUCCUUCCCUAUGUGGCUGUGCUGGGUCUUAGUUGUGGCAUCUUUUCCGUUGUGCCACUCGAACUCUCAGUUGCAAAAUGUAGGAUCUAGUUCCCUGACCAGGCAUCG